UACGUAGGGGGGCGAGCGUUGUCCGGAGUUACUGGGCGUAAAGCGUGCGCAGGCGGUUUUGUAAGUCUGUCGUGAAAGCCCCGGGCUCAACCUGGGAAUUGCGAUGGAGACUGCAAGGCUUGAAUCUGGCAGAGGGGGGGUAGAAUUCCACGUGUAGCAGUGAAAUGCGUAGAGAUGUGGAGGAACACCGAUGGCGAAGGCAGCCCCCCUGGGUCAAGAUUGACGCUCAUGCACGAAAGCGUGGGGAGCAAACAGG
rnacentral:rRNA from 1 species